UUUUUUUUUUUUUUUUUUGAAUUGUUGGAAUAAUUACAAAAUUAACUAGAAACCAAGAGCAGCACAAGUCCUAUGUUGGGAAAAGCAAAGGCAGUUUUAAGACUAGGAUAAGUUUUUUUGCUUUAUUUCAAGGGUAUAUUAUUCAUUUUACUGAGUUUUGUUCCAUUCAGUUUACAAUGUGUGCAAACUUGUAUUGCAUGUUAUUGAUUGUCAUUUCUAAGCAGGAUGCAGUUGAAAUUAAUGUAUCGUCAAUAAUUAAUUUGAGAGUAUUAGAGAAAAGGUAG
rnacentral:misc_RNA from 1 species